UACAGAGGGUGCGAGCGUUAAUCGGAAUUACUGGGCGUAAAGCGUGCGUAGACGGUUGUCUAAGUCGGAUGUGAAAUCCCCGGGCUCAACCUGGGAAUUGCAUUCGAGACUGAACAGCUAGGGUGCGGAAGAGGGAAGCGGAAUUUCCGGUGUAGCAGUGAAAUGCGUAGAUAUCGGAAGGAACAUCAGUGGCGAAAGCGGCUUCCUGGUCCAGCACCGACGUUCAGGCACGAAAGCGUGGGGAGCAAACAGG
rnacentral:rRNA from 1 species